UAAGGAAUAUUGCUCAAUGGGAGAAAUCCUGAAGCAGCAACGCCGCGUGGAGGAUGAAGGGUCUAUGACUUGUAAACUCCUGUAAAGAAGGAAAAAAUUCUUAUUUGAUGGGAGAUGAUGGUACUUCUGGAGUAAGCCCCGGCUAACUACGUGCCAGCAGCCGCGGUAAUACGUAGGGGGCAAGCGUUGUCCGGAUUUACUGGGUGUAAAGGGUGCUCAGGCGGAUUUGUAAGUCAGAGGUGAAAUCUUACAGCUUAACUGUGAAACUGCCUUUGAUACUGCAAGCCUAGAGUAUGGAAGAGAGUGAUGGAAUAUCUGGUGUAGCAGUGAAAUGCGUAGAUAUCAGAUAGAACACCAAUGGCGAAGGCAGUCACUUGGUCCAUUACUGACGCUAAAGCACGAAAGCGUGGGUAGCAAACA
rnacentral:rRNA from 1 species